UCUGGUAUGAUAGGUUUGACGAGAUAUUAACUGUUUCAUAAAAAUUUAUAAUAGAAUUUUAUUUUUUAGUCAAAAAGCUAAAAUAUAAUUAAAAGACGAGAAGACCCUAUAAAUCUUUAUAUAUAGAUUAUUAGAAUUUUGUAGAUUUUUUUUAUUAUAAUAGUUAAUUAUAUUUUAUUGGGGUGAUAUUAAAAUUUAAUAAACUUUUAAUUUUUAAAACCAUUAAUUUAUGAAUAAUUGAUCCGUUAAUAACGAUUAAAAAAAUAAGUUACCUUAGGGAUAACAGCGA
rnacentral:rRNA from 1 species